CCUCCGGUAGCUCAGUCGGAAGAGCAUACAGAGUACAAUAAAACGCUCCCCCGAUUCAUUCUGUAGACGCUGGUUCGAGUCCAGCCCGGGGGG